GCAAACUUGGUCAUUUAGAGGAAGUAAAAGUCGUAACAAGGUUUCCGUAGGUGAACCUGCGGAAGGAUCAUUAUCGAUGUUUAUUACUCGGGGGGUGCUUUCAACUUCUUGAGGCCCUUUCAGCUCCGACUCCUUCGGGGGUCGUUUCGAGCUGGGGGCCUUUGGGGUGGUCCCCUCGGGUUAACAACUUCACUAUCCCUAUUGUGAACUUUGAAAGGGGUUUAACGACCGUCAAGGUCCGCCGACCCUUUUUUCGUUUAUCAAACGCUUUUCUUUGUAAUUGUAUUUGAAACGAAUAACAAAAAACAACUUUCAACAACGGAUCUCUUGGCUCUCGCAUCGAUGAAGAACGCAGC
rnacentral:misc_RNA from 1 species